AGGCAGCAAUUGUUUUCCUCAACGUGAAUUAAAAUCUGCAUUAUAUUUCGCUUAAGUCUAUUUUAAAAAAAGUGAUAGGUGGCGGUAAAUAAGCAAAAUGUCACUUUCAUGCAUGGUCUGAAAGAGGAAAUACUGUCUACUCCAGCCCCAAAGCACGUUAUUUAAACGUAGACGACGUCUGGAAUAACCUACUCCAUGAGCUGAAAAUUAAGCACAUUAAGAACAAAUUUGAUUGUCAUUUCUGCACUUCUUUUUGUCAUUAUUGGGUUUCCCUGGUGUCACAAUUUCCACUUUUGCAAAUUUGCAUGAAGAAGGAUACGCCACCAUAAUGUAGAGUUGUGAGGAAGGAGUGUCUUGGUCUAAAUAUGCACCGGUCUGGGCGUGCCCCCCGCCAUUGACGAGUCCAACAGGCGCAUGUAGCACUCGCAGCGCGGUAGCUCCAAGUAAAUAAUAGCGAAGAGCCGUUUCAGAAAAUCACUUGACAUUUUUCACGUUUUACAGCGUGUGGCCCCGAAAAUAGGCACGUGUACGCCCUUGCAAUCAAUAAAGAUAACUGAGAAAAGAUGACAGGUCAGAAGGAGGACGAGGUGGAGGCCUGAGAGUUUACCGCCCUACAAACAGAGCCCCACGUCUUUUGAAACAAGAGUGACGCUUAUUUUUGUAAAACUGCUUCCGGGUUCACAUAAAUUUGAACUGACCUGUGUUAAGAGCGCAACUUCUGAUGAAGUUCUGAGGAAGACCUACGGGAUGAAAUGUUAACAGUCACAUGGUUAAGUAAAAUUUAACCUUUAACCAUACUUUAGUGUAAAUACGCAGGUUUUCAUUCUGCAUUUCAUGUUUGGACUCUGUACCUGAUUCCAAGAAACUUCCAGAGUGCAUUAUUCUUUUACAAUAACAGAAGGCCUAUUUACAUGCAUAAAACAAAAUAACUGUCAACAAGACCAAAAUACUGAAGUAUUGUUUUAAUAAACAUAAAUUCCACAAUAAGGUAACACCUGAGACUUUCUACACAUCUUACAAACAAUAUUUAGUACUUUUUAAAACACAAAAAUAUGUUUUAGUCUGAUUAUAUCAAAGCUCUUGAUGCUAUUGAAAAGUACAAAAGCAAUUCUUCCAAAACUUGGUUCUUCCUGACUGUGGUCAACCCCAAUGUUGCCAAAAAACAAAAAAAACAAUAGCUCUUCCCAGGCAAACAGUUACUACAAAACUUUACACACAUAUGUAUACAUAUAUAUACACAUUAGUGAGAAGAUAUUUAGCAGCUGGAAAACCACAACUGCAGGAGACAGUUAAUUUGUAAAAAGGUAAAUCUAACACAGACAUCUGUACUUCGAGUCAAGGA